rnacentral:rRNA from 1 species
UACGUAGGGGGCAAGCGUUAUCCGGAUUUACUGGGUGUAAAGGGAGCGUAGACGGCUGUACAAGUCUGAAGUGAAAGCCCGUGGCUCAACCGCGGAACUGCUUUGGAAACUGUAAAGCUGGAGUACUGGAGAGGCAGGCGGAAUUCCUAGUGUAGCGGUGAAAUGCGUAGAUAUUAGGAGGAACACCAGUGGCGAAGGCGGCCUGCUGGACUGCAACUGACGUUGAGGCCCGAAAGCGUGGGGAGCAAACAGG